UGGAUGUGUUAGAAUACUAUUGAGAGUGUCCGGAGACCCAACAGCAUCCGACAUCGACAAAAUCUCUUCAAAUUAUCUGACGACAAUUUUCGAUAUAAAUAUCGAUUUACGUUUUUCGAAAUAAUAGUCAAUUGAAUGCAUGAUGAUAAUCCAUGAUGAUUCUAUGAUGCUCAACUGGGCUCGCCAUAAGAUUCAAGACUAUGUUGGCGGUUUGCACGCCGUAUUUCUGCCAGUAAUAUGCAAUGUUUGUAAAAGACUGGAAGCUAGCUAAAAUGUACAAAAAUGCCUAGAUGAGAAAAGGAACCAGAUUGUGUGAUGAAGAACAGUUUCCAACAUGUAUCAGUGCGUUUGACUUUAUAAAUAGACAUCGGAAUAAAAUAUAAUUUUCUACU